CACCCUACACAAGACAGAGACAUACUACACCAAUGAUUUCUGCUUCAAUGACCAUAAACAGCCAUCUUAUCUGCAGGAACGUUACUAAUGCUGCGAUUCUACACACUUAAGUUGCAAGUUUGCGAAGAUCUUUCCAAGUGCAAUGAAAAGGUGCCUUCUAAUAGUCAUAUAGUGAGUAAACACAGCAUAUCUCGCAAAGGAUUAACAACAAGAAAAAAUCCAAGACAAGCUAAAGCAGCCACAUACAAAGACUCGAGUACCUGCUGAUAGCUCCACCAAUUCCAUGAGCAUUUAUGAAUGAAAGACUCCCUGAUUCAGAGCUACACUUCCCCUCACCAUUUAAGGCACUUGAGUUGUAGAUGGCAUCAGGUCUGGCUUACUGAGUCAAGGUUUUACUGCCCCUCUGGCUUGGCAUCAAAUUUCUAACAUUUGGUGUUCAAAUGCCAGAAACCAUGAUCACAACAAUUUCAAAACACACAAGCAUCUGUCUCAGUCAGGAGUUUCACAUCUGAUAUUAGAGGGCAAGUGUGACACUUAAACUAAUUUGUUUCAGCCGUGAAUUGGAAGCAGGUUCCAUCACAACCCCACUCAAGUCCUAAAUGCAUGCCAGCUCCCAUUACACAACUGGAACUCAGUUUCUGGCUGUUCCCUCAUUCACCUUCUGCCUGGCACAAGAAAGUCUGUAAUGCAUACUUGUUCUAAAAUAUAGAUGAGGAGAGAUAUUCAUUCCUAUAGAUCAAGAAUCAGUAUCUAGUUUUGAUGAUCAACUUCCUGCAAGUGACCCAACCCCAAACCAGUCAAGUUUGUGUCACUGUAGUUAAUCCCAAUCAUACACAGUUGCUUGCCAUCUACUAAUUCUGUUGCCCAUGUUCAGCUUUCCUCACCUUCUCGAUGCCUUGUCUACUCUCUUCCUCCUAUGUCCUCCAUUUCUCUUCUGCAUCUUUCCUUUCAGCUACCACCAACUGACGCUGCUCCCUCACUCUUUCCCUACAUUCUACACCCCUUCCUUCACUUGUUCUGCGUUCUAUAAUGCAAUAGCAACAGGCAUUACAUGUGCCUAUUCACGGGUGGUUGCAAUUAGACAAUGGAUGACCCAAUAUUUACAUGUAGAUAAUAUGUUUGCCACCAGGAGGCAACAGCAGUUACCGAGGAUAUCCAGUUUACAUCAAAAAGCCAUCAAGGGUAUUGCUGUGCUGCACACACUCACUAGAGUUCACUACAGUACAUAUUUCCACUCUCGUCUGACUUCAUAUGUGAUGCCAACAUUUUAAGAAGUGGGCUCUUCCACAAAGCAGCCCCGACUUCCAGCCCAUGGGGGAAUUUAUUUACCUGUAUUGUCCCACUAAUUCUCAAAAUAAAUAGAGGGAGCUUGUUAAAUUGUUGCUGGAGUCGAUCUGGGGAUUUUACAGCUGCAAUAUUAUUUACCUGUAUU